GACGAACGCUGGCGGCGUGCUUAACACAUGCAAGUCGAACGGAAAGGCCCUGCUUUUGUGGGGUGCUCGAGUGGCGAACGGGUGAGUAACACGUGAGUAACCUGCCCUUGACUUUGGGAUAACUUCAGGAAACUGGGGCUAAUACCGGAUAGGAGCUCCUGCUGCAUGGUGGGGGUUGGAAAGUUUCGGCGGUUGGGGAUGGACUCGCGGCUUAUCAGCUUGUUGGGGGGGUAGUGGCUGACCAAGGCUUUGACGGGUAGCCGGCCUGAGAGGGUGACCGGCCACAUUGGGACUGAGAUACGGCCCAGACUCCUACGGGAGGCAGCAGUGGGGAAUAUUGCACAAUGGGCGGAAGCCUGAUGCAGCAACGCCGCGUGCGGGAUGACGGCCUUCGGGUUGUAAACCGCUUUCGCCUGUGACGAAGCGUGAGUGACGGUAAUGGGUAAAGAAGCACCGGCUAACUACGUG
rnacentral:rRNA from 1 species